AAGACCAAAUCUAAAUAAACACCAGUUCUCAUCCGAUCACCCAAGUUAAGCAAUGGAAGUCAGUACUUGGGAGGAUGACCACCUGGAGGUGCUGUUGGCU